rnacentral:lncRNA from 7 species
GUCCAUAUGUCACUCAAUUGACAAAAAACAAAUUAUGGCCUUUCAUAUGGCCUUGACCAUCACCACCACUAUACUCUACUCUUCCUUGAGUGCUGCCAUCAUCCCUGCAUUGUCUACCCCCAUUCAAAGCCCUAUAUCAUCUUGAUUCCUACUCGAGGAGCUUUGCUGACAUCCACACAGUGAGAGGACCUAACACCUCUCCAUUGCGUCAAAUGACCUAACCAGCUUUUAAUAUAGUGGACUACACAUGUACUUUGUUCCU